CCAAUUUCACAUUUGAAUCAUUUCAGCAUCAAUUAGAGGAGAGGAGUGAUCAGUGAGGCCAAGUGAUUGUUGCAGUGCUCUGGUAUGUGUGAACACAGCAGCGGAAACUGCAAGCCCUUGUCGACAUGGAAAUACUGUUAUAUGGAAAUGUGUGUUAUUCUGUCUCCCCCUUUUACAUUUCUCAACUACUUAUAAAUACCUAUUCCUGUGCCCCCUUAAUUAUGCAGUGGUUCAUUUCCAAAUUCAAAGAAAACAUGAGGACCAUAUUUAGACGUGACCACUGUGCAAGGAAAAGCCUCCCAUUAACCUUUACUGAGCCUCGGGGGACUUUGACACAACCUGGCAACCCCAGGUGGAGCAGGAGCCCACAGCGCUGUGAGCCACAACUUGGCCGCCAGUCUGUCGGAGUGGGAACCAAAGAUUCCAGCAGGCCGACGCUCCUCGAGCACAAAGGAUAAAAAUGGAUAUGGAGCGAAAUAUAAGGUGGCACCGCCUAUGAGAAACGCGAAAAGCGGUCACAGGUUUCUAGGUUGUUUAUUUUUGCUUCUUUUUCGUUCCCUCCUUCGAAACCAUGCGCAUAAAAGUCAGUCGGCGUUGAGGUCCACGCAUGGAUGUUGUUUUAGCGGAGGGGUGGUGAGCCCGAGACAGGUUUGUGGCGAUGUCUGUUAUGAAAGACAUGAGUAACACUUUAUUUUAGUUUUCUGUAGAACAUGUUUAGGGGAAUUUCGCGAGAUCCACGCCUAGUUCUCCUUUGUGCUCUGCUAUUUAUUAUUGCUACCUGAUACCAUCAACAUCAAUGCCAACUUCAUCGAGAAGAAAAAUCUCUUACCAUGAAAUAUUUCUGGGUAGACAAGAGCCUUUGGACACAGAGGGUAGCAACCACAAUGAACUGCUUCCAACCUGUAACAAAUUUUGUUUUCUGAAUGCCCGUGAGAGAAGAGUGGGCCCUCCUCGCAGGGAGGGACAUUCGCUGAAGGUCGAAGGCGAUUACCAGCGGGGCCAGAAGCGCUCCACAAAAAAAAAGGACCCCUCCCACUUGGAUGGAAUCUCCUCGGAUGAGGCAUUAAUGGAGGAGCUUAUUUAUCCACACUUCCUCUGUUUGCGCUGCUGUGUCCCCCUGCGGCUCGACGCCGAUUCCCUCAUUAAUUUCGCUGCGUCUUUGAUUGCCCCCGCAUUGUGGACUUGACUGCUACCUCCUCCGGUCUAAAACAGGUUGACCUGCGGCGAGGUGACACGGCCAACCACGGGGAUGCCUAUUACCCGGGCUGUCAGCCCCGUAAAUAAAAAUGCAUUUGGUGACUGCA